UACCAUGGUGGUAACGGGUAACGGGGUGUUAGGGCACGACACCGGAGAGGGAGCCUGAGAAACGGCUACCACAUCCAAGGAUGGCAGCAGGCGCGCAAGUUACCCAAUCCCGACACGGGGAGGUAGUGACAAUAAAUAACAAUACGGGGUUCUUUAGGAUCUCGUAAUUGGAAUGAAUACAAUUUAAAUCUCUUAACGAGGAACAAUUGGAGGGCAAGUCUGGUGCCAGCAGCCGCGGUAAUUCCAGCUCCAAUAGCGUAUAUUAAAGUUGUUGCAGUUAAAAAGCUCGUAGUUGAAUUUCGGGGUCAGUAGGUCGGUCGUGCCACUGGUAUGAACUGGUUUUACUGAUUCCUCCCUCUUGAAGAACUGUAAUGCCAUUAAUUUGGUGUUGCAGGGAAUCAGGACUGUUACUUUGAAAAAAUUAGAGUGUUUAAAGCAGGCUUUAGCUUGAAUACAUUAGCAUGGAAUAAUGAAAUAGGACGUUUGAUCCUAUUUUGUUGGUUUCUAGGAUUGACAUAAUGAUUAAUAGGGAUAGUUGGGGGCAUUAGUAUUCAAUUGUCAGAGGUGAAAUUCUUGGAUUUAUUGAAGACUAACUUCUGCGAAAGCAUUUGCCAAGGAUGUUUUCAUUAAUCAAGAACGAAAGUUAGGGGAUCGAAGACGAUCAGAUACCGUCGUAGUCUUAACCAUAAACUAUGCCGACUAGGGAUCGGACGAUGUUAAUUUUUUAAUGACUCGUUCGGCGCCUUACGGGAAACCAAAGUGUUU
rnacentral:rRNA from 1 species